rnacentral:misc_RNA from 1 species
UUUUCUCCAUGCUUGAUGCCAUAGCAUCUACGCCAUUUGCCAAAGCAAGUUCCAUGUCUGCUGCUUCUGAAGAACCAUCAUCACUUUCUUCAGACAGUAACCUUAGAAACGCCCCAACAUGAUGCUUAGGUGGUGUAGAGGCAGCAGUUUCCUCUAGUCCAGACCAUGCCUUGUCAUCAAUCUCUAAAAAUUUGAAGAUAGGUCUUAGAAGAGCAGAUGAUUCAUGAACCCAAAGUUGAGGAUCAUCGGAAACGGAAUCCGCACUACUGCAACUGCUACUCCGUUCCUCCGGCGGUGUAUCCGGAAAUCCCAACGGACAAGUUUGAUGGAUCUGAGCCUGAUGAAGAGCAAGUCCAAACAAAGCUCCGGCUGCAUACCGGUGCGUCGGCGUCAACAUCAAAG